AAUGAAGCCAUUUUAAAAAGAUGCAGAAAUAGCAGUUACUAAAAUUUAUUAACCAUUUAUAACUAAAAAAGAAAAACUUAGCAAAUAUAACCUGAUAAAAAAUAUAUACAAAAAAUAUACAGCCAACAUUAUUCUGAUUAACUGUUAGAAGCAUUCUUUUAAAAAUUGGAAUCAAGGCAAGGAUGUUCACUACUUCUAUUCAGCAUUGCACUGGAGGUCCUGGCAAGGACACCACAAAAAAAAAAGUAAAAAGAUUUAAGAAAUGGAAAGGAAAAAAACAAAACUGUCAUUAUUUGCAGAUAAUACAACUGCAUAUAUAGAAUCUACAAAUUGGCUGGUCCAAGGUAGUGAGUUAUCUCAAUUGAUUGUUCACAGUCAGUUACAGAUCAAACUCCUUGUUCCACUCUUUCUCUCCUCACUAGUGUGUUGGACUAGUCUUAAAAAAAAAAAAAAAAAUCUACACACAUUAUUAGAAUAAUUGGAUAAAUAUUAAAAGUCAAUCACAUUUCUUAACACAAAUAUUUAGGAAGCAUAAUUUUUAAAAUAUACAUCAUUCUAGCAUCAAAAAAUAAAGAUAAUUAGAAAUCUAACAAUGUAUGUAAAACUAUAUGGAUAAUAUUAUAAAACUUUAUUGAAUACUUUUUUAAAAAUACUUAAAUAAAUGGAGAGAUAUAACAUGCUCACGAAUGGGAAUAGUUACUAUCAUAAAGAUUCAGUGCCACCGGGCGUGGUUCUCAGCACUUUAGGAGGCUGAGGCAGGCAGAUUGCUUGAACUCAGGAGCUCAAGACCAGCCUGGGCAAUAUGGUGAAACCUCAUCUCUACAAAAAAUACAAAAAUUGGCAGGGCAUGGUAGUGUGUGCCUGUAGUCCCAGUUACUAAUUAAAAUCCCAAAAGGAUUUUUUGAAGACUUCAAUAAACUUUUUAAAAUUUAUAGAGAAGGGCAAAAGUUCAAGAAAUAGCUGUAACACACUUAAAGAAGAUGAGUUAUCCAAACUCCUGACAGAUUAAAUAUGGAAAGUAAAACUUUUGUGUUUACAAGGAGAUACAGAACAUUGUCUCCAUUAUCUGAGAGUAUGGUUUAAUUUCUUAAAUAAUUCACAGAAAGCACUGACCACACAAGAAGAGGUUCAUCAAGACACUAUAAAGAAAAGUAAAAGCCAGGUGCAAUGGUUCACACCUGUACUUUGGGAGUCUAAGGCAGGAGGAUCACUUGAGCUCAGGAGUUCAAGACCACCCUGGGAAACACAGGGAAACAUCGUCUCUAUAAACAAAUUUAAAAAAAAAUCAGCUGGGUGUGGUGGUGUGCACCUGUAGUCCCAGCUAUUCGGUAGGCUAAGGCAAGAGGAUAGCUUUAGCCCAGGAGGUAGAGACUGCAGUGAACUGUGAUUGUGCCACUGCACUCCAGCCUGGGCAACAGUGAGACCCUGUCUCAAAAAAAAAAAAAAAAAAAGAAAGAGAGAGGAAAGAAAUGUAAAGACAGAAGCCACAAACAGAAAAGAUAAAUAUCUUUUAUAUACAUUUGCAACAUGUAUAGGUGCCAAUAGUAAAGGACUAAUAUACAGAAUAUAUAAAGAAUUAUAAUUCUCUUGGUUAAAAUUGAACACAUGUUUUGACUCCCUCCUAAAACCCCUCUAAAACUACAGUAAAUGAAUAUUUAAGAGAUAAACUCACAAGGAGAGUGAGAAGGAAGAGGCAAUGGCGACACAAUUUUGGAAGCUGGAAAAGAUGAUAAAUAAGUAGUAACUGACUUAGCAGAUCGGAGAAAGCUGAAUCUAAAGCAAGCAAUGGAAAAGCCAAGCCAUAAUUCAACUUAAAACUGUAGAAUUUUCAAAAGGCUCAGGAACUGGUAAUCCUAGUCUUCUCUGGAACUGAGGAUGGGACAGGGCCAAGGCAAAAAUAAGGAUUAUUUGAAAGCUGUUAAGAAGCAGUUAGGCCAGGUGAGGUGGCUCACGCCUGUAAUCCCAGUACUUUGGAAGGCUGAGGUGGGUGGACCACCUGAUGUC
rnacentral:lncRNA from 1 species